GCAGACGCUAACUGUCAGUUCUUUUGUAAAACUAGUGCAGGACUUGUUUCCAGCAUAAAUGAAGUUUACAUUAAGCACAAAAAAGCAUGAGUACCAAUCCUCAACCUUUGGUUUGAAAGGUCGCAGAAGCUAAGAUGCUGGUGAAAUAAUGGUAAAUAUCUAACCAUGCUGUGGGGUCGGAGGCCUAGAUCUUUGAACCCCAAGGGAAGCCAGAUUACAGUUUGCCCUCCUCCCAUCGAUCACCGGCGCGGGAUCAACACAAGCCCUCGUCGCCGCAUCCGGGUCCCGGAAGAACAUAGUUGGCGAGCACAUACACUUCACCGGUGAUCCAUGGUCUGCGUUCUCUGGCAAUUGGAGGUUUAUGAAGUUGGCUAUAGCAGCAUCAUAUCUGUGGGCUUGCGCAAACAUGGUGAAGCAUAGGGAGCAUCUUCGGAACAAAUUCCACUUAAGCCACGCUCAGCAGAUUUACAGCCAUUAAGGACAAGAUAAUGAAGGUAAAAGUCUUAGCUAUUUUUUUUACCUGGCACGGUUAUGACGCCAAAUCGUGCUUCAUUUACACGGGUUCAGCACUCUGGAUAGCCCAUUGUUCCCGACGUCAGAAAAUCGUGCAUCAUUUAUAUGAGUUCGGUACUCUGAGUACUCUCAUAUUUGUUUAUUGAUUGCCUAAACCGGCUUCUGUGUCCACUUAUCCAAAUAGCGACCACUCCAAUAGUACAUAAAUGCACGAUUCAGUGGAUAGACAUCCGGCCUAGAAUCCAUCAACGUCUGGUACUCUGGUCCACGCAACUCUCAGACGUGUGUUGUUCUGCGGCGUUGGCCCGUUUGAUCUACGUGAGCAAGUUUGGUUUUGAGUGGUAGUUGAGUGGUUUAGGUAGAUGAUGAUGGAAUCGAGUGUACAAUGGAAUAAGUCGCUACACGUCAAAAUGAAGAACUGCAAACUCGUUCGGUUUGUUUGGCACACAUUCAUGUACUUUUGUUGCACUACCGUUCUCUUAAAAACACAGGCAUGUAUUCCGAAUAAAAAACAGCACACAUGCACAUCUUUCUGUUCAUCCAUGCGUUUCUAAGAGGCUGUUGAUUAUAUUUGGAUGUGCAUACUUGGAAUAAGUGAACAUGGAACUCUAUACCUGAUUUGACUGGCAGUCUAAUCUUUGCUUUAAA